rnacentral:rRNA from 2 species
UACGUAGGUGGCGAGCGUUGUCCGGAUUUACUGGGCGUAAAGAGCGCGCAGGCGGUCGUACAAGUCGCGUGUGAAAGCCCCCGGCUCAACUGGGGAGGGUCACGCGAUACUGUUCGACUCGAAGGCAGGAGAGGGAAGUGGAAUUCCCGGUGUAGUGGUGAAAUGCGUAGAUAUCGGGAGGAACACCAGUGGCGAAGGCGACUUCCUGGCCUGUUCUUGACGCUGAGGCGCGAAAGCGUGGGGAGCAAACAGG